AACGCGAAGAACCUUACCUGGUCUUGACAUCCACAGAACUUUCCAGAGAUGGAUUGGUGCCUUCGGGAACUGUGAGACAGGUGCUGCAUGGCUGUCGUCAGCUCGUGUUGUGAAAUGUUGGGUUAAGUCCCGCAACGAGCGCAACCCUUAUCCUUUGUUGCCAGCGGUUCGGCCGGGAACUCAAAGGAGACUGCCAGUGAUAAACUGGAGGAAGGUGGGGAUGACGUCAAGUCAUCAUGGCCCUUACGACCAGGGCUACACACGUGCUACAAUGGCAUAUACAAAGAGAAGCGACCUCGCGAGAGCAAGCGGACCUCAUAAAGUAUGUCGUAGUCCGGAUUGGAGUCUGCAACUCGACUCCAUGAAGUCGGAAUCGCUAGUAAUCGUAGAUCAGAAUGCUACGGUGAAUACGUUCCCGGGUCUUGUACACACCG
rnacentral:rRNA from 1 species